rnacentral:lncRNA from 1 species
AAGGUGAAGGGAGCCGAGAGCAGUAGGACCCCUGCUGAAAGGGCCGGAGGGCGUGGGCUCCGGGCAGAGCGGGGGACGCCGCUUCCUCCGGCUGACGGUCGAGAUCAAGGUGGGCCGGAGGGACCGGCGGCGGCCUCUGCCAGAUCAGUGGGGAAGCGGAGUCGUGGCCGGGGCUGCAGAGGCUGCCCGGGAGUGGGACGCCUGGCCCUGAGGGCUACCUCCUGUGCAGGGGCUGGGCUGGGAACAUGGACGUCCCGGGCAUGGCCACCAGGGGGCAGCACAGCUGCAGGGUGCCCGAGGCAGCUUCCAUCCCUUUUUGGAAAGGUGUUUUUAAAACGGCCACCUGCCUGGGCGGCUGGAAGGAGCACACGGUGGGCGGCGUUGGGCGGUGGGCUUUGUCAGCGCGUGCAGAAACGUGGUGUGGUGGGAGACGGCGUCUCUCCACGGGGCCCCCAGCCGAGGCCACGGGCACGCGGGCUGCUUCUGAGGCCCCGGGGAGACCCCGUGCCUUGGCUUCACAGCUGUGCUGCUCUGGGCCUGACCGCCCCCCGCCCGCGCUGUGACAGAGCCGCGGGUCAUGGCCUCUGGACGAGUGGGGACCCAGGUCCUCCCAGCGGGAAGGCUGAGCGCUUAGACUGCUGCCCACCACACACACACAACUCUGUGCACACUGCACAGCACACCCACGCUCCACACGUGUGUUCACGGUCACACACAUGUGCACACAUAACUCUACAUGCACACUGCACAGCACAGCCACGCCUCCACACAUGUGUGUUCAGUCACAUGCACACACACCAUUGCACAAGUACGCUCACAUAUGCACACACCAUCAUGUCUUCACACACAUGUGUCCAUGCACAUACACACUGCAGUGUACACACAUGCAUGCACACACAUGCAUAUGCACACAAGUCAUGCCUUCACAUGUGUGUCCAUGCAUAUAUAGGAACACACCAUGUUAUGACCCACACAUGCAUACACACUGCAGUACACACAUGUGUAUGCACACGCACACACGUGCACCCUGCACGGCACAGUCACCUUCACACAUGUGUGCUCACAUUCACGUGCGCAUAUAGGCACACACACUGUACAGCAUGCCUGUGUACAUGCACACACACACACACUGCAGUGCAUACACGUCUGCAACACACACCCACAGGCACGCGAGCCCUCGGGUGUGGAGGGAGGGAGCAGCAGGCUUGUCCCCGGAGCACUGUGUGCCGGGCUCCCAGGGGCAGCUCUGUGCCUGCAGGAGGCAGAACCGUGGCCCCGUGCUCUCGGCAUGGUGGGCAAGCGGUGGUCACAGCCAGCGGAGGUGGGGGGCUCAUGGCCCCUUGGCUGUCCUCGCCUGGACCCUGCGGGCAGUGUGAGGGGGCGCCGUCCAGCUAA